rnacentral:rRNA from 1 species
CUCCUACGGGAGGCAGCAGUGGGGAAUAUUGCACAAUGGGCGCAAGCCUGAUGCAGCCAUGCCGCGUGUAUGAAGAAGGCCUUAGGGUUGUAAAGUACUUUCAGCGGGGAGGAAGGUGAUAAGGUUAAUACCCUUGUCAAUUGACGUACCCGCAGAAGAGC